rnacentral:rRNA from 1 species
CUCCUACGGGAGGCAGCAGUAGGGAAUCUUCCGCAAUAGGCGCAAGCCUGACGGAGCAACGCCGCGUGAGUGAGGAAGGCCUUCGGGUUGUAAAACUCAGUCACCUGGGAAGAGAGGUAUGGGGAGUGGAAUGCCCCAUACGAGACGGUACCAGGGGAGGAAGCCCCGGCUAACUACGUGCCAGCAGCCGCGGUAAUACGUAGGGGGCAAGCGUUGUCCGGAAUCACUGGGCGUAAAGCGUGCGUAGGCGGUCUUUCAAGUCCGGGGUGAAAACUCAAGGCUCAACCUUGAGAAUGCCUUGGAACCUGGGGGACUUGAGUACUGGAGAGGCAAGGGGAAUUCCACGUGUAGCGGUGAAAUGCGUAGAGAUGUGGAGGAAUACCAGUGGCGAAGGCGCCUUGCUGGACAGUGACUGACGCUGAGGCACGAAAGCGUGGGGAGCAAACAGGAUUAGAUACCCUGGUAGUCCACGCCGUAAACGAUGAGUGCUAGGUGUUGGGGGUUCAUCCCCUCAGUGCCGAAGGAAACCCAAUAAGCACUCCGCCUGGGGAGUACGGUCGCAAGACUGAAACUCAAAGGAAUUGACGGGGGCCCGCACAAGCAGUGGAGCAUGUGGUUUAAUUCGAAGCAACGCGAAGAACCUUACCAGGGCUUGACAUCCCUCUGACCGGUUCAGAGAUGGACCUUCCCUUCGGGGCAGAGGAGACAGGUGGUGCAUGGUUGUCAUCAGCUCGUGUCGUGAGAUGUUGGGUUAAGUCCCGCAACGAGCGCAACCCUUGACCUGUGUUACCAGCACGUAAUGGUGGGGACUCACAGGUGACUGCCGGCGUAAGUCGGAGGAAGGUGGGGAUGACGUCAAAUCAUCAUGCCCUUUAUGUCCUGGGCUACACACGUGCUACAAUGGGCGGUACAACGGGAAGCGAGACCGCGAGGUGGAGCGAAACCCAAAAAGCCGUUCGUAGUUCGGAUUGCAGGCUGCAACCCGCCUGCAUGAAGCCGGAAUUGCUAGUAAUCGCGGAUCAGCAUGCCGCGGUGAAUCCGUUCCCGGGCCUUGCACACACCGCCCGU